UUUUAAAAUGUCAAGAAGAUGGAAGAAGCAGCCAGGAAAAUGCUUAUAACAAAAUCUGGUACCAUGAAGACAUUCACAAAAAAAGGAUCACAUGCAAGCAGAUGGACGAGAGGUUAAACUAAGAAUACAAAGAAGGGCAGCACCACAUAUUAUGAUGGCUGUAGGAAACACUGGUGUCACAGCUAUGGUUUUUUUACAGAAAACAUGUAAAGAAUGUAAGUAAUGUCUGCAUCUCAACACUACUUUAUAAAGACAACCAAAGAUGUGGUCCUUAACCCCUUCAUUUACCAACUGGCAUAGAUUUCCAUUGUUAGGUUUGACUGCAAAAUCUCCCACAAACUCAAAAAUAUCAAAAGCAAAGGCAUGGUGCACUUUGGCAGUACGUCUAUCUCAGUUGGGUUAGAGCAUGAUACUGAUAAUGCCAAGGUUGCAGGUUCAAUCCCCAUAUGGGACAGCUGCAUAUUCCCGCAUUGCAGAGGAUUGAACUAGAUAAUUCUCAGGGUCCCUUCCAAUUCUACAAUUUUAUGAUUCUACUGUUCUGUCUGGCUACGCAGCACAGUGUUGGCCUUGUUAGGGUCUAGUGAAUCCAAAGACAUCAUGUCUUCUCAUUCAUUUUUCUACCUCCUACAUACUGUAGCUGUAACAAAUAAAUACUUGGAUCUAUUUCCUAUCAGCUUCAUAUCCACCAGAUAACUUAAUCAGGAGAUCUACACAGCACAUUUGGCACAGCUACCGUUCAGGCAAUUUGAUACCAGAUUAUCAGUGCUGCUUGGCAAGAGGAAAGAGAGAUAAUUUUCCAGGGGAAAGGUGCACAGGAAAUGUGUGCUGCUCACUUCCAUGCCAAAACACCUUCAGUGUAACUCAAAGGCUGCUGUUAGAAUACUAAUAAGAAAAUAAAAGAGAAAAGUUUAGAUUUAAAUUAAGUGUUCGUUGCUAUUUCUCAAAAUAAAUUUUUAGACUCAAAAACAAGAAGGUAAACAACUGAUGCCCAUAUACAUAACACGCAGCUUUGGAUUUGGGUAGAUUUGUAAGGUCCGGUAAGCGCCCCC
rnacentral:lncRNA from 1 species